rnacentral:rRNA from 1 species
GAGUUUGAUCUUGGCUCAGGACGAACGCUGGCGGCGUGCCUAAUACAUGCAAGUCGAACGCUUCUUUUUCCACCGGAGCUUGCUCCACCGGAAAAAGAGGAGUGGCGAACGGGUGAGUAACACGUGGGUAACCUGCCCAUCAGAAGGGGAUAACACUUGGAAACAGGUGCUAAUACCGUAUAACAAUCAAAACCGCAUGGUUUUGAUUUGAAAGGCGCUUUCGGGUGUCGCUGAUGGAUGGACCCGCGGUGCAUUAGCUAGUUGGUGAGGUAACGGCUCACCAAGGCCACGAUGCAUAGCCGACCUGAGAGGGUGAUCGGCCACAUUGGGACUGAGACACGGCCCAAACUCCUACGGGAGCAGCAGUAGGGAAUCUUCGGCAAUGGACGAAAGUCUGACCGAGCAACGCCGCGUGAGUGAAGAAGGUUUUCGGAUCGUAAAACUCUGUUGUUAGAGAAGAACAAGGAUGAGAGUAACUGUUCA